CGCGGGCGGGAAGGUGAAGUCAAGUAUGGACAGAUUGCCUCUUUAAAGAAUAUUGGCAGGAAAUUCGACACUCGUGCCCAGAUGUCCGAGUGAGGCGUCAUUUGCUCUCUUCCAAUUUGUGUGAACCAUUCUGCAACCUACGGAAUUUUGGAAGACGAUGAACAGUGCGCCUGCCUGAAAGGCUACGGAUCAAGUUCUGGAAUUUGGGCAGCUAUUUUCCAGCCGGCACGGAUACCAUCUUCUAUGUCAUCAACUCUACGAUUCCUUGAAACUGGCAAGACGUCUGAUUCACACAACACAGUGGAAACCUGGAGCGCUCUCCACAAAAGGUUUUUUGGAUGCUGUGGGUCAGUUGGUACUUUCACUGGCAUGUUAGAUAAGAAUUUUGGUGGGAGGGUUAA